rnacentral:rRNA from 1 species
GAUGGGAGCUUGCUCCCUGAUGUUAGCGGCGGACGGGUGAGUAACACGUGGGUAACCUGCCUGUAAGACUGGGAUAACUCCGGGAAACCGGGGCUAAUACCGGAUGGUUGUUUGAACCGCAUGGUUCAAACAUAAAAGGUGGCUUCGGCUACCACUUACAGAUGGACCCGCGGCGCAUUAGCUAGUUGGUGAGGUAACGGCUCACCAAGGCAACGAUGCGUAGCCGACCUGAGAGGGUGAUCGGCCACACUGGGACUGAGACACGGCCCAGACUCCUACGGGAGGCAGCAGUAGGGAAUCUUCCGCAAUGGACGAAAGUCUGACGGAGCAACGCCGCGUGAGUGAUGAAGGUUUUCGGAUCGUAAAGCUCUGUUGUUAGGGAAGAACAAGUACCGUUCGAAUAGGGCGGUACCUUGACGGUACCUAACCAGAAAGCCACGGCUAACUACGUGCCAGCAGCCGCGGUAAUACGUAGGUGGCAAGCGUUGUCCGGAAUUAUUGGGCGUAAAGGGCUCGCAGGCGGUUUCUUAAGUCUGAUGUGAAAGCCCCCGGCUCAACCGGGGAGGGUCAUUGGAAACUGGGGAACUUGAGUGCAGAAGAGGAGAGUGGAAUUCCACGUGUAGCGGUGAAAUGCGUAGAGAUGUGGAGGAACACCAGUGGCGAAGGCGACUCUCUGGUCUGUAACUGACGCUGAGGAGCGAAAGCGUGGGGAGCGAACAGGAUUAGAUACCCUGGUAGUCCA